CCGACGCUCCUCCCUUCUCCUCGAAAUCUCCAUGCCCUAAUCCACUGGCCUUCUUUCGAGCUGUUUCAAUUUUCGCCCCAUUUCUUCAGAUUCUUCUUGUUAUGCCCGUACCGGUGUCUCUUGUUUGGUUGUUCCGAUUCCGACGAUGAAACUCUGCAAGUUCGCAGAUCCGACUUCCGAAUUUUUUCGAGUUCUGAUUUCUGCGAGCUUCCAGUCAGUUGCUUCCAGUCAUCUGCCCUAGCUUCCAGUCAGUUACUUGCUCACUGCAGUCUGCCCAAGCUUCGAGCCGAGAGCGUCCACUAUCCAGACUCCAGGUAGAAUCUUACGAUUCACAUUACGAUUCUACGAUUCACGAUUCUACGACCCUCGACCGAUUCUAGAUAGAAUCGCGAUUCUGAAAACCUUGAUCAUCACUACUCGGCGAGUAUGACCACCGUGGAUUAAUAUUCCACCAGCCGAUGCCGACCCACUCUUUCUAUGUGCCAGCCACCGCUGCUGCUGUACUGCAGGCACGACCCGAAGCCCAGCGAUGAUCAGAUGCUGCCACCUAGUCUGUUCCAGUAUGCAGCUAAUGAUAAUCCUUAUUGGUAUGUUGUUCAGAAUCAGAUGCAUGCUAAUAAUGCUAGUCUUCCUCCACCGUUCACCCAACUCCACGCUGCACAUCAACCCCAAGUGACUGUUUACGAUACAUAUAUUCAUUGAUCGUUAGGGUCUCUAGCUAUAGAUAGAUCGAUUCCGAGGUUCAUCUUUAUAUUCAAUUGUUGUUAUUAUUUGUUAGGGUUUUUAGCUUAGAUUUGGAGGUUCAUCCAUUUACUCAAUUGUGAUUAAGCAGAUCAUUAAGGGAUGAAACUUUUAUUCUUGGAACUAAGGCCCCGUAUAUCUAUUUUCCUUUUAUUUGACGAACAUGUGCAAUUGCAGCAUACAUAAUAAAAAUUACUACUUAUUUUCUCUUUA